UGUGUGUGUGUGUGUGUGUGUGUGUGUGUGUGUGUUUGCAUGUGCAUGCACAGAGACACAGAUUUUCCAGAGGAGAAAACUUGACUUGAAUAAGAGAACAGAGAAUGCAUGAAGCAGCAAGCAAUGAAGACAAAAGUUCUGAGGAUGCCAUGUGAUUGGUGGAGAAGAGAUGGAGGUGUGGCUGCCAGAGUGCAGGUGAGAGGUGAUUGGUGGGAUAAGACCAGAGCCGAAUGUGACACAACAGUUUUUCAAAUCUCCACUGUAUUCCAUCUCAGCACGUAAAUCUAAAUAUUUGAAGGAUGCUGAGUGCUUGGAGAUGACUGACUAACAUGUCAUCUGAGGACGGGGACCUCCUGUCACACCACUCAUCUAAUCUGUUCUUAUGGUAUAAAUCAUUUGUUGUCCCUGUUUAGUACAAACAACAAUAGACAUAGGAUCAAAAGCAACUGCAUUUCGAUUCAAAACCUGGUCUCAAGCGUUCUGUUCCCUCUGUGUUUUGAGAUAUACAAGCACACUCUACGCUCUGGCAUGAUGGGCAGCACAUGAUUUUAGAAAUCUGUUCAAAUCUGUUCUAGAACUUUGCCCACUGUGUUGAGAGAAGAUCAUGGUGGAUAGCUAGGACACCUGGCCUUUCAUUGUGGAAAGCGCUCAGCUCAGUUCCAUUCCAGAGAAUGGGAGCCAUCGCAGCAAUACGAGAGCAAUUAAAGGCAGAUACAGGAUGAGCGGGAUGUAAUAUCCCGUUUGUCUGGAGAGGAUUGUUGCAGCAUGUUGAUGCUCUCAACCACACUAAUCAAAAAGUAAUUUAUCUUUCAUGUUAACUCAUAGUCUGAAGCUCAAGGGUAGUUUUUAAUUCCAUAUUGCCAGUGUCAUUAUCAUACCAUAAAGUAUCGUUUAACAAGUUGAUUCGUGACUUCACACGGUGUUGUUUCUGUUAGUUUAUUUACCAAACUGUUUUUGGCCUUGGCUUACUUUUACUCGCGCAGCCCAAUGUAGCAUGAUUUCUCUCUGACUGUUAUUUGUGCUGCAUGUCUACAGAUUCUAGGGUUUAUAGCCUUCUGUUUUGUAGUUAGUUUUGUAUGAUGAUUGCUUAACAUUAACUUGAUGUCAGACAUGCCACAUUCAUCAAGAGAUGAAGAGAGCAUUUUUCUUUCAUGAGCUAUUCAUGUCGAUCUUUAGGUUUGUUUAUCCCACAACUGUCCAUUCUGUCAAAACCACAUACCCCGAAACUGAGACAUCUUAAACCUGUUUGUAUUGAAGUUUUUCUACCAAAAUACGCAAAUCAUUAUCUUGUGGUCUACUUUUCAGCAGAACACAUUUCAAAUGAUGGCCUCGCCAGCUUUGAAUGAAAAAUGCUGACAAGCCCCGAUCAUUUUCUUGAAUGCCUCUUUGUCAUCUAUUGCCCCAGUGACUCCCAUUAUUCAAUCAAUCUCACGCAGCCUUUUCCAUUACCUCUCUGGGGGCCGUCUCAGGUCAUGUGACCCCUGCAGGUGUCCUCCAGAUGUGGCUGAGCCAGUCCGUGUGACUCCCUUUUCAGUAUUUAAUCUACUGGUCGGAAGGAAAUAGAAUAUAUAUGCUCUGGUAUGGAUGGCAAAGGCCUGUUGACAUACUAAACUGUAAGCAAAUGACAUGAACUCAUGGGUGGAACAAGAGAUGUUUCCAGCCUUCAGAAGUUUACAUUCAUGCUGGAGGAUCUGCAUCUCAGGGCCGGGCUAAUCUAUUCCUUUUCCUUUUCCUUUCUUCUUCUUCUUCUUCUGUCAGAUAACACUGAUGAUUGACUGAUUAAAGGCCAGUCCUUGAUUCUAAUCCAUUACACUUCUCAUUUUAUGCAGCCAAAUUCUCCUCACGUUCAUCUAGCUGUCUGUCCAGACAAACUAAGCUGGUGUUCCUGCUCUGUCCUGGCACUGCCAAUGGGAAACAAACGAAGUGGCCCGCACCGAGCCAUACACUAGUUCAGCCAAUCAGCAACAUUGCUUUAAGGGAGGGCUGCAUUUGAUUGGCUGGUGAGCCCAAGUAUCAAAAACAUUUUGUGAGAAAUCUAGACCUCUCUGUAGGAAAUAUAUAACCUAGAAGAACUCACACAUGCCCUUAAUCACAUGGGUCCUGUCAUGUCCUUAAAAUACCAUGAUAGAGAUUCAGUUCUUUAAUGCAUAUUUAAAAAAAAAAAACACCAGCAAGAUGUAGAUUUGGUUAUAUUAAUGCAAAAACUUGCUUAAUUUGUAUUAGUCAUACAGUGACAUUAUUUUGCCUGCCUUUUUCGUUGAGGUGUUUCUUUAAUUGUGUUUUUAUUUUCGUUUUUUUUUUGUUUUUGUCAGAAAAGUUUAUUAGGGUAUUUAUUUGGCUAUUAUUCUAGGGGCGUGACGAAGAAUGUGAUGAAGGGGAUGUGUGAUUUAUGACAGAAAAAGGAUUAUGGCACUAUGUGAAAGAAGACCGCCAUGCAUGUUUUAUAGUACGUGCAGAACAUUUGUCAACUUGUGUUAGUUCAGAAAGAGUGAUAUUUGUAGCACAUUAGCUAUUUUAUGUCCACCAUGUAGGAGAAUGAAUGACCACAGACAAGCCUUUCCCAGCUGGACAGAGGGUGCACGCCACGUGAGCACUCAUGGCAGCCUUUGAGUCCCAGGCCGGGCCGCUCCGUGGGCCAGCCAUGGCUGCAUUGUGGCGGGGGCUCAUUUGAAUAGCCCCUUAGUAUUUUGGGGGGAGCAAGUCAGCACCAUUUGCAUUCGUUCCAGUCACAAAGGUUUAUAGGUCAGCGUCAGAGACGCAGGCUUGAGAAAAACCUAAACACCUCCACAUAUUUCUUUGCUUUUCACUCUGCAUCCUUCAACAUUUAUUUGUUCUGCAUGUAGUUGUCCUAAUUCCACUUUUUCAUCUUCUUCAUGUUCAAAUCUCACUGGACUACUUAUAAAAGAUAGGCUCUAGGGUGUUGGCACCUUUGAACUGUGUUCAUUUCAUUGGCACGGCUUGUGCCUAUUCCUUGCAUGUUUAAAUGUGUUGUGUUGUGUUGGUAAGGGAAGGGUGUGGGUUACAGGGAGAUAUUUACAUGAACAAGAAUUUAGCCACAAGCUUAAGAUAUUAUGGUAGCUGUUCUUUAACUCCGGUGUAAGUUGCACAGAUUUGUCUGCUGUCUAAUUUAGUCACGUGUUCCAAUUAAGUCGUUAGAACAACUGUUCACGCAGAGGGAUUGUAAUAAUACAUUUUUUUUUAAUUGAGGUUUUCUGUGAUAUUUGAAAUGACGUUGCUAUUGAGCGUCCAUGUGAGCCACAGAGUGGGCUCUAUGUGAUCUGUCUGUCUUCAGGCAUCCUACUCCAGGUUCUCUCUGCUUCUUCCUCCAGAAAUGUUUCCUUGACUGAUCUCCUGGACCGUGGAGUUUAUGGAGAUUAGCUAUUUUAUUUAGAAGUAUGUGAGGGGGUCUGUCUCUCUCUCUCAAUCUCUGUGUGUGUGUGUGUGUGUGUGUGUGUGCGUGCGUGCGUGCGCGCAUGUCUGCUUUCAUUCAAUGUGGCCACAAGAAGGCAGUGUGUGUCCUAUAUAGUUGUGCUGAGGCAUGGGUGAAAAGAGGCGUCUGAGGACCUGUGCAGGCCGCUGGAGACGUGUGAAACGGCACACAAAGGAGGCUGCUCUAUCUGUAUGCACACGACAUAAAGGCUCCUUUUGUUAGCGUCUGCGUCCUCAUGACUGUUAGCAUCUCAGACUCCUGCAGCUGCCCUGCCCCCCACCGCAGAGCAGAGCAGAGCAGAGCAGAGCACGGGCUGCAGGAGAGCCCUUAACCCUGAGCAGGGACAAACUGCCAGUUCACUCACGCAGUAUAUAGUGUAUUGAGACUAUAGCAAUUAGCCUUAUUUUAGUGCACAGCCACAUAUUCUCGGAGGAUAUUCAUUUUUGAAUUGUGUUAGAUAAGGUAUUUUCAGUCAUUGCUUUUAGUGCCCAAUCAUUAUUACAAAGAGUCUGAUUAGUCCACCUCACGUAUUACCUUUGUGUACAACUUCAUCAAGACUCUUCUUGAUCUUAACCCCCUUCACUGAACUCUCAAACAGACACACAGGCACCUUGCACAUUUUAGGCUAAAGAUAGCAAUAUAGUUUUCUUGGAUUCUGACAGAUAGCUGGAAUACUGGUUAUACUUGAGAAAGAAUAAGGACAGUAAAAGAGAGUUUAAUAGUGGCUGGCCUGGCUGGCUGGCUGAAACUUGCACCUAGACCUGUGUCUGGAAAACAAGGGCAGGGCAGAGUCCUCCUGUUUAUUUUUAAACGCACCAGACUGGCAGUGUGCCGAAACUGAUAUUGCAUGGCAGGGAUAAGCGAGGUCAAGACUGGGACUGUGUGCGUUGGGCGUAUGACCAGUAUAGUGCUGUCCUAACAUCAGGUCAUGUGAAGCUUAUAAGAUUUGAUAUUGCACCACGAGCCUUCAUAGACAAAACGUAGCUAUUUAAAAAACACACCCAUGUUUCUCAGUGUUAGUAAAUAUAUUGGUAAUUCUCAAAAUAGCCGUCCAAAUAUUACUUUAACUAUUGACACUAAAUAUUAUAAAAAAAAAUGUAUUGGGUAACAGGUGGACAUUAUGGGGUCUUGAACAGUAAGGAUUGUUCUCAGUUUAGCGGGUCUGUGUGUGCCCUUGGGAAGCAUUCCGUAGUUUGACUGAAAUCACUCAUUAACCACCAUUUUAUCAACUCUGCUGCAGCCUACUAACUGUUACACACUUGGCCUCGUUUUAAAUAGUGUUUGAAGCACUUCUCAUGCCUGUCUUCAGUCGAUACCAUACAGGAGAGAACUCUGUAGAAUCCCUACAAUCCCCUGAAUAGAAUAGGGCAGUUUGUGUGUGUGUGUGUGUGUGAUCUCCUCCAUAAUUGCAUGAAGGCUGUGUCCAUGUGUGUCUGUCCCUGGGGGCCGUUGGGACACAGGCAUGGCGGAUUGGGUGUGGCGGGCUCGGCUGGGGCGAAUCCUCUCUGUGCUGUCCAUGCAGGGCUGUGACGUGGCACACGCUAGCGCCGGCUCUGGGCCCACGCCUUUAAGAGUGAGCACCGUACCACUCCCCACACUCCCCACACUCCCACCCCACGCGGCCAUGCAGAGAAGGCAAAAAAGGUCCAUGCUGGUCCAUGCUUUAACACCAGCACCCAGCCCUAACAGGACGCUGGCACAUGGGCCUCGGCAGAAACAGGUCUCAGGGAAACAGGUUUGUUCAGUGUAUGCCUCUGUUGAUGCACAGGAUUCCUGUGAUGCCUUUAAUGAUUCUUGUCUGGUUGUAAGGAUUAUAACACAUGGAUAUGUUCAACACAGAAAUUAGGGAGGGAGUAUGCAGCUAUUUGUAACAUAUAAGGCAUACUAAAUGUUCAAUAUCCGAUAUAUAUGUAUAUAUAUAUAUAUAUAUAUAUAUGUGGGAUCCUCAUUAUGAGCUCAGGGCAGUGGUAUUAAGUAAUCUCAUGUUAUUAGCACAACCUCCUUGACAUUAUUGUCCCUUAUGCACUUUCUUGAAUUAAUGUUCCAUGAACAUGCAUAUGUAAAAUAUUUAUUUUUAGCAAUAGGAGAUUCUAUAACUGCUGUAAACAUAUUGCUUUAUUCCUCUUUUGAAUGUGUAGCAGCACAAACGAGUUUUGGGAUUAGUUUGCUGGCCGCUCGCUAUUGUAGGUCAUAUUAUUGGCUAGCGAAACAACAGCCACUUACUACUUCAAUGUCAGUUUCAACUUACUGUCUUCUGCACAAUGGAAAGUUAGUUUUGUAAGCAAACAUGUUUGAAAGAUACUGCACGUUGCAUUAUCUAUUUAUGGUAGAAGCCUUUCACAGAGUCCCAAAAAUGUUUAAUAAUUAAUUUCAGUAACACGUUAUUUAAUCAUCGCUUAAGUGUGAAAUGUGCAAAGCCAUCAGCAGUCUAUAUAUUUUUUUUAGUUAAGCUCUAAAAUUACUCAUAACAAAUGUUGAUUUUUUUUCCCCUUUUGUUUGUUUGUUGUCUGGAGUAUUUGCCUGUAAUUAUACAGAGCAAAAUGCCUGUCGCAGUAUAGCAACAGUAGGCAUGCAUAUAAUAAAAUACCAAGUCUGAUGCAUUGGUUAAGAGAGUCUGUAAGCUUGUGACUAAAAGAAAAGAUACAAAUUAUUUUAGAAGGUGAAGGCAUUUUAUUACAGCAGUGAUUGUGAUGAAAUGUUAAAAAGAUGUCCUCAUUGAUUUAAGCAAGCUGUGCGAAGCCUGCCUGAAGGAGUGCGGUGUGUGUCAAACCUGGCACAUGCUAAAAAUGCUCAUUAGAGGGACAUAAAAGAAGGAUUCUGAAAUGAUUUACACAUUCUUUCGGCAUUGAGUGAGAAACAAACAGUUCACUUGAAACGCAAUAUCCAAUGACUUACUUUUACAAAUCAAGUUUAAAAAGUAAUAGUGUAGUAAUACUUUACAUUUGGCAUUCAAUUAGGCAUUUUGCAACAUUGUGUCAUAGAGAGGUUUGUAAGGUUUAUCAUUUAUUUGAUCUGGUAUUUUCAUGCCUUCAUUCAGAUGUGUACAGAGAAUUAUAUUAGCCAUGUAGUUAUACUUUUAGUUUUACUAUCCUUUUAAAUUCUAUUUGCUACUUCAGGUUCAGCAAUUCUUUUCAAAGAGCUAUGAUUAGUCUUUGACUAUUACAUUUUUUUUGGUUUAUUGUUAAGGUAAAGGAUAUUGGACAGUGUAACAGUGUUUGAUAGCUUAUGAGUAUAUUGUUUUUUAUUCUUCUGUCGAAUUUAGAUUAGAUUUAGAUGGUCAACAAAAGCCAUGGUUAUUUACUCACAAUUCUGCAUGACCUUGCUGUGGUGUUACCAGGAUUAAUGUUCUGCCUGUGUGUUAAUUCUACCACACAAUCAUAUAAUGCUAAUGCUAUGAAGAUAGACAAAAAUUAUACUUUAGUUCGACAGAGUAAAAAAUAGAAGCCUCUAUUUAUAUUUUUAUAAUCAGUAAGCAAUAUUUUUGUUCGGUUAACUAAUCAAUAUAUCCGUAUAUUAAAUUGUUAUUGUAUUUGCUCUCACUAAGCCGUCCAUGUUCGAGCUUUUCACCAUGUUUUGUUUUUAUACUUCAAUAUCUUUAAAGACAAGAAGCUGUUUCAUGUGAAACCUCUUUGUUUUGCAUCUGAAACUUUAACAUCCUAUGGAGCGUUUUAGACAUGGAUCAGGACAUUGCAGCACACGCUCAUGCUACCAUUUCUUAAGAAACUAUUUGUAUAUUCUAUUAAUUAUUUCCAUAAUUUUUAACAUAAAAUAGAGAACAUAAGAAAAAAGCAAAAGAGUGCUUUUAUGGUGAAAAGCUCAAGUGUUGAUUCUCUGUUUAGGAUAGAUAUUUCAUCAAUGUCUGGGUGUAUUUUCACAAAUUAAUAUUUAUAGAUUGAAUUAUUAUAAUUUCUACACAACACUUUACUAGUGCACUGUGCAAGACCAACAUAUCUUGGGGAAUAAUAGAUGAACCCACAUUUCGGAUGUGAGAAAUACUCUCUAAUGUAGAGCUAUCUGAAGUAUACAUCUAGUCAUAAAGUGAAUUAUUAGGUUUGAAUUAGGUAUGUAGCCUAAUAUAAGAUUGACAGUUUGAAUCAAGAAAAAAACACUCAUGAAACCAAAUCAACUUGCCAUGUUUUGUUUAAAGCUAUUUAAAGUAAAUUGGCAA